GACGAACGCUGGCGGCGUGCUUAACACAUGCAAGUCGAGCGGUAAGGCCCUUUCGGGGGUACACGAGCGGCGAACGGGUGAGUAACACGUGGGUGACCUGCCUCUAGCUCUGGGAUAAGCCUGGGAAGCUGGGUCUAAUACCGGAUAUGACCUCGCGGUGCAUGUUGCGGGGUGGAAAGCCUUGUGCGGCUAGGGAUGGGCCCGCGGCCUAUCAGCUUGUUGGUGGGGUGAUGGCCUACCAAGGCGACGACGGGUAGCCGGCCUGAGAGGGCGACCGGCCACACUGGGACUGAGACACGGCCCAGACUCCUACGGGAGGCAGCAGUGGGGAAUCUUGCGCAAUGGGCGAAAAGCCUGACGCAGCGACGCCGCGUGAGGGAUGA
rnacentral:rRNA from 1 species